rnacentral:rRNA from 1 species
AGCAGCAGCCAUACCACUUACAACUGGCAACCCACUUAAGCUAAGUGAGCCUGCUCAGUACCUGGAUGGGAGACCUCCUGGGAAAAACUAAGGUUGCUGCUG